rnacentral:rRNA from 1 species
GACGAACGCUGGCGGCGUGCCUAAUACAUGCAAGUAGAACGCUGAAGAGAGGAGCUUACUCUUCUUGGAUGAGUUGCGAACGGGUGAGUAACGCGUAGGUAACCUGCCUUGUAGCGGGGGAUAACUAUUGGAAACGAUAGCUAAUACCGCAUAACAAUGGAUGACACAUGUCAUUUAUUUGAAAGGGGCAAUUGCUCCACUACAAGAUGGACCUGCGUUGUAUUAGCUAGUAGGUGAGGUAAUGGCUCACCUAGGCGACGAUACAUAGCCGACCUGAGAGGGUGAUCGGCCACACUGGGACUGAGACACGGCCCAGACUCCUACGGGAGGCAGCCGUAGGGAAUCUUCGGCAAUGGGGGCAACCCUGACCGAGCAACGCCGCGUGAGUGAAGAAGGUUUUCGGAUCGUAAAGCUCUGUUGUAAGUCAAGAACGGGUGUGAGAGUGGAAAGUUCACACUGUGACGGUAGCUUACCAGAAAGGGACGGCUAACUACGUG